CCUACGGGUGGCAGCAGUGAGGAAUAUUGGUCAAUGGGCGGGAGCCUGAACCAGCCAAGCCGCGUGAGGGAAGAAGGUACAGCGUAUCGUAAACCUCUUUUGUCAGGGAACAAAGGCGGGGACUAGUCCCCGGAUGCGGGUACAUGAAGAAAAAGCAUCGGCUAACUCCGUGCCAGCAGCCGCGGUAAUACGGAGGAUGCGAGCGUUAUCCGGAUUUAGUGGGUUGAAGGGGUGCGCGGGCGGCCUGUUAAGUCUGCGGUAAAAGCCCGGGGCUCAACCCCGGCGAGCCGUUGAAACUGGGGGGCUGGAGUUGGAGAGAGGUACGCGGAAUGCGCGGUGUAGCGGUGAAAUGCUUAGAUAUCGCGCAGAACCCCGAUGGCGAAGGCAGCGUACCGGCUCCACACUGACGCUGAGGCACGAAAGCGUGGGUAUCGAACAGGAUUAGAUACCCUUGUAGUC
rnacentral:rRNA from 1 species